CGUGAUACAAUGAUCGGGAAACUAAAUUUCUGAACAGACUGGGAAAGCUACGAACGGUAACAAGGGAAAGGAACGUGAUGUGCACUUGAAAUACUUACUAUACAAGCAUCGUGGAUUGUCCGCGCUCCACGCCAUGACUGAAUUUCGUGGACGAGCAGGAGUGCCGUUGCUGCGUUGCUGUGACAGAUGGAACACUGAAUAGUGAAAUUACCUAAUAACGAUCAAUAACGAAAAGAUUCACAUCAUCACAAAAAUAGUAGAGUUUACAUUUCAAUUUAGUAAGCUCCCCUCAUUGUUUACUGAAAAUUUUGUCAGUUUCGAGGCAGAACAGUUUAUACUUACACAGUGUGAAUUAACAUCUAGGGAACGGCGAAGAAAAAAAGGAUUUAAAAAAUGGAGAUGGAUGAAUGUUCUGCUGGUGGGGAUUCUGGUGCUGAAGAAGAUGAAGAUGAAGAUUCAUCACAUGGUUCAAGGAGUAAUAGUAGCAGUAGUAGCAGUAGUGGAAGUAGUACAUCAACAGGCAGUGGAGAAGAAAGUGGUGAGGAACACUGUAGUAGCAGUUCAGAAAGUCAUAGUUCUGCUGAUGAUGAUGAAGAAGGAACAGAAAGUUCACAACAUCCAACAAAAGAGGAUUCAAAUACUUUGAGAUGGGAGAUAUGUGUAGCUGCUGGGACCAGGGUAAAACUACCACAAGAUCUUUGCGAACAUUUCUCAAUAUUUCGGGAAUUCUUGGAUUAUCCUCGUGUUUGGCAAGAGUAUCUAACUGAAAGUCAGCGUGAAUCCCUCCGUUGCCUAUUACCAGCGUUUCCCAUAGAUUGUGAUGUAGAUGUUGAAUGUGACAAGACACUUCGUAUGCUAUUUCAUAGAGAGAAUCAGAGGUUUGGCGUUACCACAUUAGAUUCUUUCCAUAACCAUCUAUCUACGGGACACUUUCGACCAGAUAUUAGAAGGAUGCGCAGUUUAGUACGUAAGGCACAACAAAGACGAUUACUUUUUGAAGAACGUAAACGUACUUAUGAACUUGCUGGCCAACUAUUGAAAUCGCGAGAGUGCUUAUUGUCAAAUGCAUAUAAGCAGGGUUUUAGUCAGCCAAUUCAUCGAACUAUAUCUAAAUUUCAAUGGCGGAAGCCAAAACCUGCAUUGGUUGAAGAAAAAACUCAGCUGCGUUACAUAGAAGAGUUGGAUGCAUUGAAGGCAGAGCUUGGAGCUAAUACUACGUUUUCUGUUGACACAACUUCUGAAAACGACGAGAACUAUCCUCAUCAACAAUAUGGAGGAGCUAAACAAAAGAAGAAAAAGCGUACCACCAUGGGAUUACAAUACAUGCCUAUCAGAGGUUUGCAAAUGAGUCAUGAAGAUGAAACUGUUCGUCCAGUGUUUUCGACACUACAGCGAUCACAGUACAGUUCAAAUCGAUCGUUUCUCCUUCGGGAACAAACAGAGGACACUUACCGAAAUAUGUUAAUAACACAUAAGAAGCGAAGAGUACGUCGUGAUAUACAUCCCGAGUUAAAUACACAGGGCAUUUCACUCGCUGAUUUAGCUCAAAGAGCUCAGAUAGGUCAAAAGCACAAAAUUUCGCUUGGGAACUCCAUGCGUGUUUCGAGUGCUAAAAAGAAAAUAAAAUUGGAGCAACCUUCUCUCUGUCCACCUCUCGUACCGAAGUUUGCCAAUGCCAAUUCAAUUAAGCUUGAGAGUGACAACAGUGACUACUCUCAUACAACGGAUGAUAAUAACAAACAUUCCAUGAUCUUGGAAGCGGAUCAUCGAAUAAUGAUCUCUAGUACCAUAAAAACUGAACCCAUAGAUGCAUAUGAAGUGCAGCAACCAGUUAAAAACAAAAUAAGUCCUACUAUUGCAAAAAGUAAUAAAAACUUAAUCUUACCCACGGCAAAUAUUAAAAUGGAAACAGAAAAUCUUGAAUGUGAGUCGAAGGUCAAAAGUGAGGUUGCAGUUGGAGUAAACGAGGAUAAACAAACAGAAUCAAAGGAAAAAGAAAACGAAAAGAAGCAACUUGAUUUGGAUGAUAUCGACAUGAUGGAAAUUCCAAUACAACUUGAUGACGGAAUCGACAUACUCGAAGACGUCAAAUGUGAAGAUGAAGGUGUAAUCUCUUUACCGGAAAAGGAAGUAUCGAUUGGUGAGGGUAUCAGUAUUAAUGGCGAUGGAGAACUAAUGCAGGAAACCCACACUUCUUUCUUCUCUCUUAUACGGGAUGCAUUCGUCUCGAAAGGAGAAUAUCGUAUGAGCACCAUUGAAAUGAGAGACGCAGUGAUGCAGUGGCAAGGAAAUCCAAUUUCUCCAUUGAAUGAUUGGUAUUCCUUGGCACCAUCUUGGCCAGCCCUCGUACCUCUCGCUCUCGGCUUUCUUGCAGGAGAAUUAACUUACUCGCACGAUGGGGAACAGCAAUCUGAUGGAGAGCAGGAGUUUGUACCUUAUUUGGAAAAUAAGGGCCGGGGUCUGUAUGCUUGGAUAGGCGCUGGCAGAGAUUCAGAUUCUCGUCUUGCCACACUCUGCACUCGUUUUCUCUUGCAUAGGGAUUCUCUCGGGCCUCCAUACACUUCGACUGUAAGUGCUGUCCUUCCAGUGAAGCAGCCGUUACAACAAACUUCAUCUAAUAGCAACAAUAACAACAGCACCGGUAGCGGAAGUAUCAUUGGAGGAGGCGGAAGGGUUGGAAGUCCUGUGAUUGAUUCUGUUAAUCCUGAUGCUGGGUCUGUUGGUGCUUUGGGAGAAUGGGAACCGCCCCGGCCUUUAUGUCCGACUGAAUGGAAAGUUUGUCCUUCGACGCUUGAAGAACGCGAAGAAUUUCGGAGGCAGGAACGCAUGCGUUAUGCAGCACCUCAUAAAGCAUUUACCUAUCGCAUGCAUGGCUAUGCGUCUGUUGUUGGACCCGUAAAAGGCAUUUAUCAGCACAACGUUGGUUCAGGUGUAAAUAAGCCACGAGGUCAUUCAUUGCUGGUAGCCGAGAGACCGAACUUUGUUACGAUCUUGGCGCUAGUGCGAGAUGCUACUGCUCGUCUCCCAAACGGUGAAGGGACUCGAGCUGAUAUUUGUCAGUUACUAAAAGACUCGCAAUACAUCAGAGAUCAAAGUGACAGCGAGGGUGGUCACGAUAAGGAAGGAUAUUUACAUUCAGUUGUAUCCGGUGCCUUGGAUAGAUUACAUUAUGAAGCAGAUCCAUGCGUUAGGUAUUAUCCUCGACGUAAAGAGUGGUUGUAUUUACAUCGAGCACGUUCCGAGUCAGAAUUUGAAAUGUAUCACCAGCAAUUGCAAGGGGUGGCUAAGAAUAAGAAAAGUAUCGGGGGUGCUACACGAAACAAAUCAAUUCAACCUAUUGCAAAAUCAAUCAGUGGUGGUAAAGAGCAACCUGUCAACAGUAACAAAGAGAGUACGCCGAAGAAAGAGCGAAAGCCUCCUACACAGGCUCAAACUACGAUCGUUAGAAAGGAGCAACGGAAACUUGAAGAAAAACUUAUUAUGGUUCAACCUACGACGGUGGAACAAACGUCAAUCAGUACUGGGACUACUACAACGGGAACUAACGCUGCUAUGGUUUCGCCCAUUACCUUUUCUAAUACUUCUACGCUUGAAAUAGCGCCGACGAUUUCGACUGCUAAUUCUGCUUCAAUAAUAGAACGAGAUAAUUCGAUUCCAAUAGAAACGAAGCAGCAACCGCAACAUCAACAACAACAACAACAACAACAAUUGACACCAUCACCGCUAACUAAAAAAGUGGCAACGACCAAUAUCGGUGGGAAGCCCGUUACCGUAGUGAAAACAAAUGCACCACAAAGUCUACUACAAUCCAAUCAUCAACAUUUUCCUCAUCACCAAAUUCAAGUAUCGACAUCGGCUGGGUUGCAGACAAUCAGACUUUCUGGACAUUCUGUGCUUCACUCUGCUCAAGCAGUCGCUACAACUAGUACUGCGAACGUAGCUAGCAAUACCGCAAAUGUUACCGCAAUUUUCCCUGCGUCUAAAAUUCAAACACAACAGCAACAGCAAAACGUGAUAACGAAUCAAGCUGGAAAGAGUAUUCUUCAGAAUAGUAAUGUAAAACAACAAACACAACAUGCCUUACCUGGAAAAACGUUACUUGCUUCUCAAAUAAAGCUAGUUAGUUCGGGGCAGAUAAAAUCCUUGUUGACAGGGCAUGGUCUUCAGGGACAGACUAUAUUUAUUAAGCAAUCUUCGUCGCCGUCUGCAGGCCAACAACAGCAAUUACAACAACAGCAGUUGAAGCAACAACUUCAACAGCGCGUUGUAGCUACCCAGCAACAGCAGUCUCCGAGUAUGCAAAGAAUAAUUGCGCAAAUCGGUGGAAAACCAAUUGCAGUGCAGAUACAACAAUCACCGCAACAUCAGCAGCAACAGCAGCAACAAAAGAUUCUAGCAAAAGUUUUAACCAGUGCAGCUGGUGGCCAAUUAAUAUCUGUGGAAAGCCUCUUGGCUCAAAAAGGAUUAAAACUUGCCACAGCUACGGGCCAUACAAGCCAACUGAAUAGACAAGGCAAACAAAUCAUUCAGACGCAAUAUCAAGUUGUAUCACAAGCUCAAGCUGCUCCAGGGCAGUCAAAAAUUAUUGUAAGUUCACAACAACAAUCCCAACAGCCACAACAAUCACAAACCGUAAGAAUGGUUACAGCACAACUAGCGGGCAAACCUAUAGUUUUGGCAAGCGGUAAUAAAGGAAUGGGAGUCGGUGUCGGUGUGAAUAGUACGGGUGGGGUUACGUUAGGAAAGCAGCAAUCUGGUCAACAGCAGCAAGCACAGACACAGCCAAUUAUUUUACCAAGCCAAUUACUAAACAUCAAAACUUUACAUGGCCUGAAAGUGAUUCCAACACCUGCAGGAUUGAAGACUACCGGUGCAGCGGUUUAUGCCCGCGUCAUUGCACCGACAACAAUGUCGGCACCUUCAACCCAGUCUACGGUCUCGCAGGCUCAACAACCGUUACAGACCCAAUCUCCAAGAAACAGUCCUUAUGGUACUCCCUGACAGGAAUAAUUUCAAAAUUAUUCUUUUCUUCCUUAUUUAUUCUUGAUUCACAUUAUUGGUACGUCUUCGUGGGAUGUUUUCUUUCUGUGACAUAGCACUGAAUAUACAUAUAGGAUAAUGAUUACUCUUUAUCAAAGUAAACUAUUUUCUGCUGUUUUCAUGUUGAAGAGAAAUGGAAAGAAAUAGUGGGUAUUGAGAUAUUCUGUUUAUUUUGUGCAUUCUUAAAAAAUUGAGAGUGCUUUAUUUCCUGACUGGAUUAUCUGCAAGUGACAGACAGAUAAAGCAUUAAAAUGAAAUUAACAUGCAAGUUGAGGCUGCUGCUCAGUGAAUUUUAAUAAUAAAAUUUCAAUAGUGAGAAAACUGCAAUGUUAUUCUCUACUAUUUAUUAUUACAUUAUAUGAAUACGGAAUGAGAAAAGCGGUAAUACCAUUUUGUAAAAAUAAAUACUGGGAGAAUAACGAUGUAAGAAUAUUUCUCAUUGUGACGUCAUUACGCUUACGUUUGUUGCUACGAUUCUGUUCGAAUUGAGUGAAUACACACCUUAAGGCGAGAGAACAUAUAGGUACUCAAAACAUUAAAAAAGCACUUCAAAGAAGAAAGUAUGUAAAAUUAUUAUAAAAGUUGCUAUAAGAAAGUGGCUAUGAAAACCAUCACGACCGGUGUGACAAUAUUGCUCCUAUCCGACUAUAAACUCUUAAAUCUCGAGGGAUUUAAAAUCCCAGGGUUAGAUCUCAAUUAAGUUAGGUUCAUCGAAUCUCAAUUAAUUUUUAUUUUUGUGAAUGUGUAAAAAGUGAAUAUUAGACAUUCUUUCUACGACUCCAAUACAUAAUUGCAAAAGUAUAUAAUAUGCAGCUAUAAAUUAAAUACUUGAAUUUUUUUCAAUACAUAUAAAAAGUAACUAUUGGUCGCGAGCUGAUGUGGAGAGAAGGUGAGUGUAAUGAUUGGGUACGUUCACACACCGCAUUUAAACCAAUUUAAUUACUACUGGGCUCGUAUUCUUGAGCCUGCCUUAAUCAUUCUCGUAUACGUCUUUCUACUUCAAAGUAUUGACUGGUCUCAUGUGAGAUUCACGAGAACGCUUUGAGAAUACGGACUAAAGUCCUGAUUUAUAGAGUGUCGUGAAUUAUGUACGUCUCUGCUUUAAAGAAAUGUUUAUCGUUCGUCACUUCCAUUACAUAGAAUGGUUUAAACACAGCGUGUAAGCGUAUCAAAUGGAGUUGCAGUUAUUCAUAUUUUUCAUAUUCCAAAAUAAAACUAUAUAGAAGCAAACUCGAAAUUAGAUUUAAUUAAAUCCACUUGAAAAGAGUAAUCACUUUCAAUAACCGUAGAAAAUAUAUCCAAAAAGUCUUUAAACGAA